rnacentral:lncRNA from 1 species
CUUGCUUCAGAAAAUGGUGAGUCUCCUCAUAUAGUGCCUCCCUUUUUCAUCCUGGCAUUGAGAACAAUGACUCUAGGGCCCUUAUAUCCAGCAGAUGUUUUGAAGACAUCCUCUGGUUUCCUUUUCAGAAGUAAUAAGCUGACUCUUCACCGUCUCAGUAGAGUGAGUGUCCAGUGAGAGAAGGAUGCAGUCAAGCACUCUCUGGGGAGUUCUGGGACUCUGCCUCCUAUCAGGUAAGUAGAUUGGAAUAAAGAAGGGUGGUGUUUCUCCAGUCCACUGGAAGCCUCAGAGACUUACUCGUGCAGCCCAGUCAUACCAAAGAGCCUCAUUUACCAGAAGAUGUAAGGGACUGUGCUAUCGGUUAGGGUUGGGGAUUGAGGUCGGAAGCAAACAAAAGAAAUGUGCAGGUGCCUAGGGCAUCAUUCAGGGAAUAGCCAGGGAGAAGCAGUUGACAAGAUCAUAUCAAUUGAGAGCAAAAAGGUCUCUCUGCCACCAAGAAGAAGCCCACCCCAGUUCUUACUAAGCCCUUAAGAACUAACACAAGACAUUAGAAGAGCUAAGCCCCAGCCUUUGUUUUGGGGAAAUCAGACAGUUAAACCUAAACUCUGCACAUAGUAGAACAAAUUUAGUACCUUUGAAACAAACACCUCACAAUUUUCAGUCCUUUUUGGAUGCCCAAGAGCUUUCAAUUAGUUUAGUCUUUUUUGAAACAAGGCAGGACAUGAAUUGAUAAAUAACCGAGAGCAUUUGCAUAUCUCAUGAGAUAAAUAAUACAAAAAAAGUUGCCAUUUAUUGAGUGUCUGUACUAUACAAAGAAAACUCCAUUACAUGCAUUAACUGAUUUAAUCCUUACCUCCACCUUGGAGGAAAGAUGUUAUACCCUCUAUUUUAUGAAGAAAUUAAUACUCAAAGAAGUUAAAUAACAUUUAAAACCAUACUGUUAGUAAUUGCAGAAGCGGAUCCAAGAAAUCGGGACUAUCUGUCCACAAGGCCUGUGCUCAGAAUGGCCGCAUUGCAUGAGGCAAAAUGGCUCCUGAUAGUUUUAUUUCAUAAGCCUAGGAAAUACUGUCUCAGCUGGGGCUCCUAACUCAGAGCCACAGCCAUGGUGUCUUCACUUCCUGCUUCAUCUUGGGUUGUUUUCUUAAGCUUGAACACAAAAAUCACCUGGGAACCCUGUUAAAUUGCAGCUUCUAUUUCAAGAGGCCUGGAAUGGAGACUGAGAAUGUGGGCAUUAUGAGAAUGUGCCCAAAAUGCUCUUGUUACCGGACUGCUGGGCCAUAGGCCCAACUCUGGGGGUCCCAACAAAUCAGAUCUGGCCACCUGCCCCAAAAACCAAAUGGAAAAAGUAAUGACGAAAAGCAGAAAAGGAACUGUAAUCAAGAUGGCCAUAUUGGGAAGGCAAAUGAGAUCAAGCUUCCCAGUCCUGUCUUUGGGAUACUGAUGUGUUAGGUUUAAACAGAAGAAAAACUGAGGCAGUGGACAAGUAGUAUGCAGAACUAAAUAAUCUUGGUUAAACUGUGUCCUGGUUGAUUAUUAUCUCAGUUCUGGUUCUACAAGGUGGCUCCAGGGAAGUCCUUGUCUCUUGAAGAGACAAUCUCCCUUUGCUUCACAGGAUGUUUAUCAGACCUGGAUCCUGGUGGGGACAAUUCAGCUCCCAGGAGAUGAUUGCUCUUGCUUCAGGGUAGGGGGAUGGUCUCAUCAGGAAAUUAUCUGCCUUCAAUUUUUCACUAUUCCUGGAAUGUCUAGGAGAAUGACUGGAGACUUCUACGCAUUGCUCCAGGGGGUCUGGAACAGGAGCUUUUUAAAAGCCAGCAGUUGAAUGUCCCUGAAAAUCUUAAAAAUACCUUACUUACCUUUAUUGUGGUGUCUUCAGUCUUGAAGGGGACAGAAUGCCAGCUUGAGAUGAACACUCCUUAAAUGAUUAACAUACCUAUGUGCAAAAUUGAGCAGGAUUCUAACACAAAAGUUUAAGUUAAUAAAUAAAACUGGAGCUGGGCACAGUGGCACAUGCCUGUAAUGCUAGCAGCUCACGAGGCUGAGGUAGGAGGAUCACAAGUUCAAAGUCAGCCUCAGCAAAACAAGACACUAAGCAAUUCAGUGAGACCCUAAAUAAAAUAAAAAAUAGGGUUAGGGAUGUAGCUCAGUGGUCGAGUGCCCCUGAGUUCAGUCCCUAGUACCAAAAAACAAACAAACAACAAAAAAAACUACUGGAUACUAAAUGAAGGUAACUUUUAGUUACCCAUAGGGCAUCUGUAGGCCCAAGUGAAAAGUCAGUACUUUUUAGCAAAGGCAACCUAUCUAACUAAGUACCUGUUAUUCUCUGGGGAUUAAAGAGUAUCUCACCCAACAUAGAGGCUAUUGGUGAACAGAAAACUCUCAGGCAGAGCCAGGGAAACUGGUCACUGUAAUGAAUCUAAGUCAUGCUUAAGUGAUUUGGGAGAGUCCAGAGGAAAUGUGAUCAGGCUCUUUAACGCAUAGGCUCUAGGUUAUGAGUGACUGGGGUUUCAAAUAUUUCCACUUGUCUCUAGCAGAAAACAAAUGGAAAAACUGAGCCAUCCAACAAGCAGAAGCCAGAAAUGGAACAAGAAUCCCGACGUUUGUAGCCAAACAAAAGCUCAUUUUUUUUUCCACAGUCUGAGACCAGUUUCAAAAUGGAGGCUUAGUUGCAAAAUUCUUUUGCUAUUUCUCUUGUCAGACAAAAAGCAGCCCCAACUUAUUCUAACUUCUGUUUGUUGAAUAUUGUGUUGUCAUGUUUAAUGCUGGACGGUUCCUUUCUCUUUCUUCCCAAAUUGACUGGAUCAAUCCCCAGCAGUAAAAGGCACUUUUCUAAAGUGUAGAAGCCACUGAGAUCAUACAGUGGCUGGAAAGAACUUUAGAUGGUCAUUAAUAUAAUUAUAUAAUUAAUAUAAUUAUUUGGAAUUGCAUGCACUCACAAUAUUUUCUAACUCUUUUUUUUUAACUAUUUAUUUUCCAGUUGGUGCUUGGGGGCAGGAAGGUAAGAUAUGC